UGCGUAGGCGGGCUAACAAGUCAGUGGUGAAAUCUCUCGGCUCAACCGGGAAACUGCCAUUGAUACUGUUAGUCUUGAGUUCGGUUGAGGUAGGCGGAAUGUGUAAUGUAGCGGUGAAAUGCUUAGAUAUUACACAGAACACAAAUUGCGUAGGCAGCUUACUAGACCGACACUGACGCUGAGGCACGAAAGCGUGGGGAGCGAACAGGAUUAGAUACCCUGGUAGUCC
rnacentral:rRNA from 1 species